rnacentral:rRNA from 1 species
CCUCAAAUCAGGUAGGACUACCCGCUGAACUUAAGCAUAUCAAUAAGCGGAGGAAAAGAAACUAACAAGGAUUCCCCUAGUAACGGCGAGUGAAGCGGGAUGAGCUCAAAUUUAAAAUCUGGCGGCCUCAGGUCGUCCGAGUUGUAGUCUAGAGAAUCGUUUUCCGCGUUGGCCUGUGUACAAGUCCCUUGGAACAGGGCGUCAUAGAGGGUGAGAAUCCCGUCCUUGACACAGACUACCAAUGCUUUGUGAUGCGAUCUCGAAGAGUCGAGUUGUUUGGGAAUGCAGCUCAAAAUGGGUGGUAAAUUCCAUCUAAAGCUAAAUAUUGGCGAGAGACCGAUAGCGAACAAGUACCGUGAGGGAAAGAUGAAAAGCACUUUGGAAAGAGAGUUAAACAGUACGUGAAAUUGUUAAAAGGGAAACGAUUGAAGUCAGUCAUGCUUUCCGAGACUCAGCCGAUUCUGUCGGUGUACUUCUCGGUUGGCAGGCCAGCAUCAGUUUCGAUCUGUGGAAAAGGUUGGAGGGAACGUGGCAUCCUCGGAUGUGUUAUAGCCCUUCUUCGAAUACAUAGAGCGGGACUGAGGAACGCAGCGCGCCUUUUAUUAGGUUGGCCCUCGGGUACAUACGCG